AAACGGCGGCCGUAACUAUAACGGUCCUAAGGUAGCGAAAUUCCUUGUCGGGUAAGUUCCGACCUGCACGAAUGGCGUAAUGAUGGCCAGGCUGUCUCCACCCGAGACUCAGUGAAAUUGAACUCGCUGUGAAGAUGCAGUGUACCCGCGGCAAGACGGAAAGACCCCGUGAACCUUUACUAUAGCUUGACACUGAACAUUGAGCCUUGAUGUGUAGGAUAGGUGGGAGGCUUUGAAGUGUGGACGCCAGUCUGCAUGGAGCCGACCUUGAAAUACCACCCUUUAAUGUUUGAUGUUCUAACGUGGACCCGUUACCCGGGUUGCGGACAGUGUCUGGUGGGUAGUUUGACUGGGGCGGUCUCCUCCUAAAGAGUAACGGAGGAGCACGAAGGUUGGCUAAUCCUGGUCGGACAUCAGGAGGUUAGUGCAAUGGCAUAAGCCAGCUUGACUGCGAGCGUGACGGCGCGAGCAGGUGCGAAAGCAGGUCAUAGUGAUCCGGUGGUUCUGAAUGGAAGGGCCAUCGCUCAACGGAUAAAAGGUACUCCGGGGAUAACAGGCUGAUACCGCCCAAGAGUUCAUAUCGACGGCGGUGUUUGGCACCUCGAUGUCGGCUCAUCACAUCCUGGGGCUGAAGUAGGUCCCAAGGGUAUGGCUGUUCGCCAUUUAAAGUGGUACGCGAGCUGGGUUUAGAACGUCGUGAGACAGUUCGGUCCCUAUCUGCCGUGGGCGCUGGAGAACUGAGGGGGGCUGCUCCUAGUACGAGAGGACCGGAGUGGACGCAUCACUGGUGUUCGGGUUGUCAUGCCAAUGGCACUGCCCGGUAGCUAAAUGCGGAAGAGAUAAGUGCUGAAAGCAUCUAAGCACGAAACUUGCCCCGAGAUGAGUUCUCCCUGAGACUUAGAGUCUCCUGAAGGAACGUUGAAGACGACGACGUUGAUAGGCCGGGUGUGUAAGCGCAGCGAUGCGUUGAGCUAACCGGUACUAAUGAACCGUGAGGCUUAACCUU
rnacentral:rRNA from 1 species